rnacentral:rRNA from 1 species
AUUGAACGCUGGCGGCAGGCUUAACACAUGCAAGUCGAGCGGAGAGAGGUAGCUUGCUACUGAUCUUAGCGGCGGACGGGUGAGUAAUGCUUAGGAAUCUGCCUAUUAGUGGGGGACAACAUUUCGAAAGGAAUGCUAAUACCGCAUACGUCCUACGGGAGAAAGCAGGGGAUCUUCGGACCUUGCGCUAAUAGAUGAGCCUAAGUCGGAUUAGCUAGGUGGUGGGGUAAAGGCCUACCAAGGCGACGAUCUGUAGCGGGUCUGAGAGGAUGAUCCGCCACACUGGGACUGAGACACGGCCCAGACUCCUACGGGAGGCAGCAGUGGGGAAUAUUGGACAAUGGGCGCAAGCCUGAUCCAGCCAUGCCGCGUGUGUGAAGAAGGCCUUAUGGUUGUAAAGCACUUUAAGCGAGGAGGAGGCUACUUUAGUUAAUACCUAGAGAUAGUGGACGUUACUCGCAGAAUAAGCACCGGCUAACUCUGUGCCAGCAGCCGCGGUAAAAC